UAUAUCAGACGCUUAACAAAACGAUAUACCAUACGAUUGAUGAAACGCUAAACGAUAGCACAUACCAUACGAUAAACGAAACGCUAAACGCUAAACGCUAAACCAUACCAUAAACCAUACGACAAAUAAAACGAUUAACGAUACCAUGAACCAUACGUUAUAACAAAACCCUCAACGGUGACAUUUACCAUACGAUGAACGAACGAUGAACGAACGCUGACCGAACGUUGUACGGACGAUAUACGAAUGAUGUACGAACGAUGACCGAACUCUAUACGAACG
rnacentral:lncRNA from 1 species